rnacentral:rRNA from 1 species
CAAUAGCGUAUAUUAAAGUUGUUGCAGUUAAAAAGCUCGUAGUUGGAUUUCGGGGCAGCCUGGCUGGUCCGCCGCAAGGCGAGUACUGGUCAGCCGCCCUUCCUCUCGAAAGCCCCGACUGCUCUUCGUUGCAGUGGUCGGGUAGUUCGGGACGUUUGCUUUGAAAAAAUUAGAGUGUUCAAGGCAGGCCUACGCCUGAAUACAUUAGCAUGGAAUAAUGGAAGAGGACCUCGGUCCUAUUUUGUUGGUUUCCAGGGCCGAAGUAAUGAUUAAGAGGGACAGUUGGGGGCAUUCGUAUUUAAUUGUCAGAGGUGAAAUUCUCGGAUUUAUGAAAGACGAACAACUGCGAAAGCAUUUGCCAAGGAUGUUUUCAUUAA